CAGCCCAAAAAAUAAAACAAGGAUCCAGAUUGCAGAACGGGGAAGCUCUAGAGACAUCUUCAUCCUAGCUGUUAUCCAUUACUUAACCCCUCUCCUGAAAAGCAACAAAAAAAAAACAUGGGGAACCGCAGAAACUUCACCAUUAUGCUCCAUUAACUUUCAUUAGAAACAGUCACCCUCAUCAAUGCAUCUUUGAAAUACAUCAAACCCACUGACCAUUCAAGUCUAUUUUCAUUCUCUCCUUCAACGCUGCCUCUUCACCCCCUCAUGGAUUCCAUCCAUCUUCGAUCAGCAUCCACCGCUCCCUCCACGACAGAAGGAAUCAUAUGCAUCAGAUAAGUUGUCUCCCUCUUUUUGAUUCCUUAUGUAGCUAUGAUAUAAGCAACCUUAUUAGAUUCUCUAUGAAUAAAUUACAAGACACAAGACCCAAAACCUAAUCUUAGUUGCUUAGAAUUUUAAUAUAAGUUUCUAUCUUAGAUCUUUCUUCUUCCUCAGCUUACAGUUUACGGAUCACCGAACGAAAAUUUCUUUCGAUUUCAACCUCCCCUAGUCUGAGAUUUAACCUAAGAUUAAGUGCAUGAGGACACGCCAUCGCUUCUGCUGCAAAAACAAACGUAUCGAAGUUGAUUCUUACCAUUAAUCCAUUCGGAGCUACCCAUCUGUCCGUAUGUAUCCUUCUCACUAGUAGAUCAAGAAAGGAAGAAUUCGGACUUAGAUCGAGGAAAGUCGAAGGUUAUCAAGUAGACAGUCCGAGUUGACAAAUUCCGAGUACGAGUUAUCGUAGUUACUGAAGGCUCGGGGAUAGUCAAGGAUCGUCACCACACUAUUGAUCUCAUUUUGGUACUUUUAAAAAUGUAAAUAUUUGAAGUAUGGCAUGUAUAGGCUAGUAGUUGUGAAGUAUGUUUUGUGAUGUAAAAAGUUAGCCAUGAAAUUUAGCUAAUUUGUGUUUGAACUCAUAUUUGAUAAUGGCUUAUGAUAUGUGAUGUUAAUUUGCAACUAUGGCAUGUCUUAGUUGGAUAAAGUAGAAGGUAGGUUUGAUGAGUGCUUGGUAUGAGAAUGAAUGAUGUAUGUUUUAGAAUGAAGAAUGGUUGAUUGGGUUAUACAUAUACGCUUGUUGCCUUGUUGUAGGUUGACCCAUAAUGGGUGGCAAGUUGGCUUAAACAAGUCUGCAUUAUGCCAUACGGUCAGGAGACAUAGGCAUGCCUUGUGGACGUGUAAGAAAAACAAUAUUCUAUUAAGAAUCACACGGCCUUGACACACAGGCGUGUCAUAUGGCCGUGGGCAUAAGUCAGUAGCUAGCUAAGUAUCACACGGCCAUAGCACACGGGCGUAUCUAUUGGCUGUGGGUGAAAGUCAGUAUGGUCACUCUGUUUUAGCAUGGUUGGUUCAAAUAGGUGUGUUUGAUAGCCGUGUAAGGCAUACGGCCUAGUCCCACAGGCGUGUGACAUUAACAGAAUAGAAAAAUUUCCUAGUUGUUGGAAGUCGUGAACAUGUUCGGUUUAGUCCCGACCUUUUCCUAAUGCAUGUUUAAGGUCUCAUUGACCUAAGAAAGGGACUUAUGUUGAUGUUUGACUAUGAUGCUAUGAUGUUUGUGAAAUGAAUGCGAAGUAUUUCGAUAUGUUUGGUAAUGCCGCUUAACCCUAGUCCGGCGAUAAAUACAGGUUAGGGGUGUUAUAGGAUUAGUAUUUUGUGAAGCAAAUGUUUAGAAUUGAGAUGAGCAUGUGUGCUGAGUUAGGCACAUAGUCUAAAAUAGGUAAUUGAUCAUUUAAGUAUACUUUGGAAGAAUUUUUAGUAUGUUUAAAAGUGGUCAAAUGAAUGUGCUUGUGGAUAUCAUGUUGUAUGUGUGAUUAGUACAUGAUAUAAUCUUGAUAUUGGUUAGUUUUGAAGGCUGAUUUAUGCUAUGAUUAUAUGUAUAUUGAGGUGUGCAGGUUGGAACCUCUUUGGGUAAGAAAAAUGGUUUGGAAAAUAGCCUAUUUGGUCUACACAGGCAGAGACACGAGCGUGUAUUUCAGUCGUGUGUGGCACACGGUUAGAUGGCACAGCCAUGUGUCCCUUGUGACAAAUACGGGUUAGGGGUGUUACAGGCCAGAUUCAUGGGCAAAGAAAUGCAUAAAAUGCUCUCCGCAUCCUUAUCUAUAAAGUACUCGGAGGCUCGUGAAGGUUGAAAUUUGAUCGGAGUCACAUCACACUAUCCCUUAGACUUCUCGGUAUAUGAAACAAGCUUACUUUUGAUGUAAUGGCAUGUAAAGGCUAAAAUAGAUCAAAUGAUGAAAUAUUUUGGUUGUAACUAGCCAUAGAAAUGGCUAGUGUUGAGCAUACUUUGAUGUAAUUAUAUAAGUCUUUAUAAUGUUUGAUAUGUGUUGAAAUGGUUAUAUGGUGGAGAGUAUAUAAACCUAUUGAUGAAUGGUUUCAAAUUAGUAUAAUUGAUAAAA